AUGCGUCACCCACUCCCAUGGAUCACUUCCUCACUGCAAGCCCGAUCCUGCCGGCUGGCCACGUCCGCCAGGAACUGGGCAAACGCCAAGCGCGACGACCCGCCGUCGUUGCAAGCCACAGCCGCGGCUUCCAUGUACGCCGCCGCUCGUGCCCUGAGCUCUCUACCCUCCUCGGACUCCAUCACAAGCCUUACCUUGGCCUCCACCUCGCCGGCCUUGACCAGCCCCUGCUGCCACCCGACCAUCUCCGCGGCGAUCCCCAUGUCCCCCACCAUGUGCACCUUGUUCAUCUUCUGCUCCGAGUACAGCGGCCAGCACAGCAUUGGCACGCCCGCCGUGACGCCCUCCAGCACCGAAUUCCACCCGCAGUGCGUCACGAAGGCCCCCGUGGCCCUGUGGCGGAGGACGUCCACCUGUGGCGCCCACAGCUUGACGACGAGGCCACGGCCGUUGGUUCGCUCCAUGAACCCGUCCGGCAGGAGCGCGUCGAGGUCCGGGUCGGCACUGGGGUCGUGUGGCCUCUCCGGGUCGUCGCUGACGGGGGUUCGCACAACCCACAAGAAGCGGUGGCCGGACUUGUCGAGGCCGACGGCGAUCUCCCUGAGCUGCUUCGCGGAGUGGUUUCCGGUGCCUAUGCUCCCGAAGCAGAGGAACACGACGCUGCGGUCCGGUUGGCUGUCUAGCCAGGCGAGGCACUCGUGCCGUUCUUUUGCCUCGGCGUCGGCGAUGCUGCUGACAAAUGGACCGACGCAGUACACCGGAGGCAAUGCCUGGCCGGGGACACACCGAGGAUCCCUGAGAGCAGCCACCGCACGAGCCUCCAGCGACUCGAAGGUGUUCACUAGCGUGCCGUCGGCCUCCGGGAUCCGGCACAGCAAGGCCAUCAUCGCCUUGUAUGUGUCGCUCUCCGGGUCCUCGAGCACCUCGCCCGACAGGUGCGAAGCCGGCAUGGGCGGAAGGCCGAAGAGCUCGAGAGGGGUGUCACCAAGCUCCUUGAAGCUCCCACCGCCCUCUGCGAGCACCGUAGGGAGCUGGGCAAAGGCGACGAAGGUGGCGGCGCUGGAAGUGAACAAGGUGUAG
rnacentral:rRNA from 1 species